rnacentral:ncRNA from 1 species
GACCCAAAAGAUGGUGAACUAAGCCUGGGCAAGGCAAAGCCAGAGGAAACUCUGGUGGAGGUCCAUAGUGGUCCUGAUGUGCAAAUCAGUUGUCCAACCUGGGCAUAGGGGCAAAAGACUAAUAAAACCAUCUAGAAGCUGA